UGAAGUCACCGAGGCACCGAGCUCUUCGGUGGCAAGGCUCCUGGAGUGGAUGAAAACCAUCCAGAGUACCUUAAGUCUCUGGAUGUUGUGGGACUGUCUUGGUUGACACGUUUCUGCAACAUCACAUGGCGGUCGGGGAGAGUGCCUCUGGAUUGGCAGACUGGGGUGGUUGUCCCUCUGUUUAAGAAGGGGGACCGGAGGGUGUGUUCCAACCAUAGGGGAAUCACACUCCGCAGCCUCCCCGGUAAGGUCUAUUCCAGAGU